CCUUGUACACACCGCCCGUCACGCCAUGGAAGUUGGGGGGACCUGAAGCCGGUGGGCUAACCCGCAAGGGAAGGCAGCCGUCAAAGGUCAAUACCAAUGACUGGGGCG
rnacentral:rRNA from 1 species